rnacentral:rRNA from 1 species
UUUAUGGAGAGUUUGAUCCUGGCUCAGGAUGAACGCUGGCGGCGUGCCUAAUACAUGCAAGUCGAGCGAACGGACGAGAAGCUUGCUUUUCUGAUGUUAGCGGCGGACGGGGGAGUAACACGUGGAUAACCUACCUAUAAGACUGGGAUAACUUCGGGAAACCGGAGCUAAUACCGGAUAAUAUUUUGAACCGCAUGGUUCAAAAGUGAAAGACGG